rnacentral:rRNA from 1 species
CAGUGCUUGCCCUAGUAACGGCGAGUGAAGCGGCAACAGCUCAAAUUUGAAAGCUGGCCUUCGGGUCCGCAUUGUAAUUUGUAGAGGAUGCUUUGGGUGAAACGCCAGUCUAAGUUCCUUGGAACAGGACGUCAUAGAGGGUGAGAAUCCCGUAUGUGACUGGAAAUGUUAACCUAUGUAAAGCUCCUUCGACGAGUCGAGUUGUUUGGGAAUGCAGCUCUAAAUGGGAGGUAAAUUUCUUCUAAAGCUAAAUAUUGGCGAGAGACCGAUAGCGCACAAGUAGAGUGAUCGAAAGAUGAAAAGCACUUUGGAAAGAGAGUUAAAAAGCACGUGAAAUUGUUGAAAGGGAAGCGCUUGCAAUCAGACUUGUUUAAACUGUUCGGCCGGUCUUCUGACCGGUUUACUCAGUUUGGACAGGCCAGCAUCAGUUUCGGCGGCCGGAUAAAGGCUCUGGGAAUGUGGCCUUCACUUCGGUGAAGGUGUUAUAGCCCAGGGUGUAAUACGGCCAGCCGGGACUGAGGUCCGCGCUUCGGCUAGGAUGCUGGCGUAAUGGUUGUAAGCGACCCGUCUUGAGAACCCGGACCCAAA